rnacentral:rRNA from 1 species
CUACGGGGGGCUGCAGUGAGGAAUAUUGCACAAUGGGGGGAACCCUGAUGCAGCAACGCCGCGUGGAGGAUGACGCAUUUCGGUGUGUAAACUCCUUUUAUAUGUCAAGAAAAUGACGGUAGCAUAUGAAUAAGCACCGGCUAACUCCGUGCCAGCAGCCGCGGUAAUACGGAGGGUGCAAGCGUUACUCGGAAUCACUGGGCGUAAAGGACGCGUAGGCGGGCUUGUAAGUCAGGUGUGAAAUCCUACAGCUUAACUGUAGAACUGCACUUGAAACUUCUAAUCUAGAGUAUGGGAGGGGGAGAUGGAAUUAGUGGUGUAGGGGUAAAAUCCGUAGAUAUCACUAGGAAUACCUAAAGCGAAGGCGAUCUCCUGGAACAUUACUGACGCUAAGGCGUGAAAGCGUGGGGAGCAAACAGGAUUAGAUACCCUUGUAGUC